rnacentral:lncRNA from 1 species
CCAGCAGGUGGGGCCGGGGGCGGGCUGUGGGGCAGGCUGUGGGGCAGGCUGUGGGGCCAGCACACUGUGGGGCAGGCUGUGGGGCUGGCUAUGGGGCUGGUGGACCAUGGGGCACACUAUGGGGCAGGCUAUGGGGCUGGCACAACGUGGGGCAGGCUGUGGGGCUGGCUAUGGGGCUAGAAGACCAUGGGGUGUGCUGUGGGGCAGGCUACGGGGCUGGCUGUGGGGCUGGCAUGCCAUGGGGCAGGCUAUGGGGCAGGCUAUGGGGCUGGCAGACCAUGAGGAACGCUAUGGGGUUCACCAUGGGGCACACUAUGGGGCUGACACACUAUGGGUCACACUAUGGGGCAUGCUAUGGGUCUGGCAUGCUAUGGGGCACGCUAUGGGGCCCGCUGUGGGGCAGGCACACUAUGGGGUGUGCUAUGGGGCUGGUACACCAUGGGGCACGGUAUGGGGCUGACACACUAUGGGUCAUGCUAUGGGGCAUGCUAUGGGUCUGGCGUGCUAUGGGGCACGCUAUGGGGCCCACUGUGGGUCUGGCGUGCUAUGGGGCACAGCGUGGGGCUGACACACUAUGGGGCGCGCUAUGGGACAUGCUAUGGGUCAGGCACACUAUGGGGCGCGCUAUGGGUCCCGCCGUGGGGCGCCCCCCAACCCCCUCUCCCCCCUUAGCGCCUGCUGUGGCUGCUGUACGACAUGGGGCACCUGGAGCGCUACCCCAUGGCCCUGGGCAACUUGGCCGACCUGGAGGAGCUGGAGCCCACCCCGGGCCGCCCGGACCCCCUCACCCUGUACCACAAGGUAAAAUGGGGCUGGGGGGGUCCGGGGGGGUCCGCUAUGGGGCG